UCGUCGCUUCUCGGCGACUUGCCUUUUAAUAUAUUUUCUAUAAUGCGUCGUGCUACCUCUGUAUUAUGAUCAUAAACCAAGAAGUACAACUAACUUUAAGUAUCUUAAAUCCGUAAUCGUGCUCUGGUCCUCUGGAUUUCAUAUUUCUAUAGACCACGGAAUAUAAUAUACCACGGCUACAGAUACGUAUAAUACUAACUGAAGUCAACUACACAACAAAAUAGUUAUAACAGUCAUUACAAAAAUAUCUUACUUCAUAGCAAAAGAGAUGGAUUCUGAAAAACGUGUUAUACCAUGGACGAGUGGCCAAAAGCAAGUUCUGGAAUCCAACGGAUGUAAACCUAAAAUAUACAUAAACAGCUAUCAUACUCACAAUUUGUUUCAAGUCCUACAAAGUUUACACAGAGAAAAAGUGUUAUGUGAUAUAAAGUAAGAAACAGAUGGCGGUGUAAUAGUGUGUGUACAUAAAGUGGUUUUAGUAUCAGUCCAUAUUUUUGUGCGUUGUUCACCAGUUUUGCCGAAGUGGAUAUAGAUGUUGUAAGUUUAAGAUAAUUGGACUCCAAUAUGCUACAAUGCUUGUUGGAUUAUAUUUAUAGUGGUGAAAUCAUGGUCACCGAAGAAAACGUAUUGAAAACUGGUUGAAGCUGAAGAGUUUCUAUCUUUGUCUUCUGAAGAAAUGAUUAAUCUAAUUUCAUGUGAUCACAUUAACGUUUUAUUUGAAGAAAAAAUUAUACAAAAAUCGGUAUCCUGAUCGUUCUUGUCCAGCACAUUCGAAAUUUUAUUAUUUAUAUAAAAAUCUUGAAGAACAUGGGAGCUUUACAAAACCAAAAAGUAGAGUUUCAACUGUGGCGAAUGACAGCAAUUCUUUUUCCGUGUUGGCCAAAUUGAUUGAAAAUCCACAAAUAUCUUUGAGAACUGUAGCAGAUGAAUUAAAUAUGACAUAUUCUUCAGUUCAAAAAAUUGUUAAAAAACAAAUAUCACGCAUACCUGGCCCAUCCUGUUCAGAAACUUCAAGCAAAUGAUUUUGAAAGGCGGCUUAAUUUUAUUGCUCAUUGUAUGGUUAAAAUAGACGAUGAUACUGCAUUUCUGCAAGAGGGUUCUUUGGACUGAUGAGGCAAAAUUCCAUAAUAAUGGACAAGUGAACCACCACAACAAUCACUAUUGGAGUGAUUUAAAUCCCCACUGAAUGAAUGAAACCAAGAGACAAGUUCCAAUAGACAAGUAUAAAUGUUUGGUGUGGAAUUACUGAUGAUUAUUUGAUUGGUCCAUACUUUUUUGAUGAAAAUCUUAAUGGCAACAAAUAUCUUAUUUUUUUUUUGUAUAGUAUAAUAUUAUAGUAUACAACUCAUAUUAUAUCAAUAUUUUUAUUAUAUUAUAUCUUGUAUUGUGCUCGUGAUCUAGCAAUGUAAUUAAAUUUUUAUGUUUAUAUAAAUCGACUAAGACUGAUGAUUUGUAAAUGCAUAUUAAAUGCUUUACAUUAAUUCCCUUAUAAAUCAAUGAUGUACUAGUUGUCAUGGGAAGAUUUAGUAAAAAUUUGAUAAUUCCAUUAAUAGUAACUAUAAGUUUGAUAAGACAUUAUUUGCGGCUCCUCCACAAAUAGA